GCAACUGUUCCAGUCCGCCUCCCUUGGACGAGAGAGCAAGUAAAUAAUUGAUGGGAGUGAUCCGGCUUAGACAAAGCUUUGUAGAAAAGCGGUGCAUUGGAUUUCAACCACUUUGGGAAUCUUCUGCCAAGUAUCGGAAAAUUCAAGUACAGCAGGAGCUUGACCUGUUUGGGAGCUUUCAUCUCGGGCGUGGCUCUCGCUUUUUUUUUUUUUUUUUGUCUUCCUGGGGACCACUCCCCAUCCCCACCCCGUCCCCGCCCUCUGCCUUCUCUUUUCUUUUGAAAGUAGCCUCCCUUUUGGCUACUUCUGCAGCAUCCUUUACAAUUCUGACUCCUCCCCUGCCCAGUUCGGUGAGGUCAGCUCAUGAAUAUCAGUGCACUUCAAGAGGAGCCUCUGGCACUGCUUGGUUCUUCGGUUGUUCGCCCAGCAGCAGCUCCAACCAAGCUAAGGACUUCGGGGAAGUAAUCUGCUGGGGAAGGGAGGUUGGGGUGGUGGGGAGAGGGAGUGGUAGAGGUGAUGGUAGUGGGGUGGCUCUGAGUCUGCACGUUAAUGCCUUUGUUUAGAGCCUUCCAGUGGGUAUGGAAAAAGGACAAGCCAGCUCAAAGACUUACCCUGGCAGAAAGGCCGUAUAGUGCUACAAAGUUAAACUUUCUUCGCUUCUGAAAGGUGAAAUAAUAAGUCUGGCAGCCCUGGGAAGAUCAGGAAUAAAUAACGUUGAUUUGCAUCAAUGUGAAACAUCGCCUCUAUUUAAGAAGUAUUAAAAUGCAAAUGUGAUCGUGAAAAAAAAAGGUAUUGACAACUCUACUACAUGGAUAUCCUUCCUUCUGCAGGUAUCUCUUGACAUAUCCUAAAAAAAGAAAAAAAAAAAACCUUCUUGACCCUACCCAUUACUGUAUUCUUAUUCUCUCCCCGUUAAUUCCCUUUUCUCACUACCUAUCUCUGCCUUUCCAAAACUUGCUAUCAUAAUGAAAGGUUCAGAUGCUUUCAGAUCUUCAUUUUACUGAGAUAAGGUGGAAACAACGCCUUCCUGAGCAACGAGGGAAUUGAUAGUGCCUCGCCUCAUUGCUUAACAUCAUGAUUUCUAUAAUAUUAUGUGCGUUUUUAUCUCAUUUUCUAGGGUUUCAUUUGUAUAGGAAAAUCUUAUUUUGUAAACUAUACGGACAUGUUAUUCCCUUCUUUUUGUUUCUGUCUCAGAUGAGAAAGGAAGGUUGGUGGCGGUGAGGAGAGGAUGAUUCGGGUUUGGACCAUUUUAAAAUCACAUCAGGUAGAUUCUUCCUAGAUCGCCAUGAGCCUGCCACCGUCUGGGGGCGCUGUUCCCACCGCAGCCACGGCUUCUGCCGCCACCAGUGCUACAGAGGCUAGAUUGCACCCGGAGGGCAGUAGCAGAAAGCAGCAACGAGCUCAAUCACCCGGUAGAUUGAGAGACAAUUCCGUCCGACAGACAACCGUGGGCACCAGGUGCCCCGUGGGGGUUGGCACGAAACUCAAUUCUGUCCGGCAGCAGCAGCUGCAACAGCAACAACAGAGCAACAAGACCGGGAACCGAUCGACGCCUCCCACCAGCACCCGAGGUGGCGGAGGCGGGGCAGAGAAGGUGUUGCCCCAGGCACCCAAAGGGGCAGCUUCGGGAGCUGUCCAGCCCACGAUUAGUGCUGAAGCAGCCCCCACGGCGUCCCUGGCCCAGGUGGGGGGCAGGAAGCCUGCUCCAUCCGAGGAGUCGCCCCGGGAUCUAGAGCCUGUGUUCUCAAAACUGGGGGAACCCCCUCCACUUGGGGAAGAAGGAGGAGGGAUUGCGGGAGGAGGGGGAGGAGCCGGCAGCAGCUCUGGAGAAAGGGAGGGGGGCGCUCCUCAGCAGCCGCCGCCGCCGCCCAGGGGCUGGCGAGGGAAAAGCGGCCGCGCUCAUCAGAGGGGCGGCAGCGUUGGGGAGGGGGCUUCCCCUUCGCCGUCGUCCCCCGCUGGCAAGACCCCACGUCCGGGUAGCAGAAAUUCCGGAAGCGGCGUGGUAGGGGGCGGCAGCGGAGGUGGAGGGAGCUACUGGAAGGAAGGAUGUCUACAGUCUGAGCUCAUUCAGUUCCAUCUCAAGAAAGAGCGGGCGGCAGCUGCAGCGGCUGAGGCUCAGAUGCACACGAAGAACGGUGGUGGCGGCGGCAGCACCCGCAACUCUACGAUCGCCGGCGCGCCUGCCAUUUGCGAAGCCCUAGCGAUUCCUUCCGCCUCCCCAAUGGCGGCGGCGGCCGAGGGUCCCCAGCAGAGCUCCGAGGGCAGCGCGAGCGGCGGGGCCAUGCAGGCGGCGGCGCCUCCAGCAUCACAGCCCAACCCGCAGCAGCUCCAGGAGCAGGAGGAAAUGCAGGAGGAGAUGGAGAAGCUGCGAGAGGAAAAUGAGACUCUCAAGAACGAGAUCGAUGAGCUGAGGACCGAGAUGGAUGAGAUGAGGGACACUUUCUUCGAGGAGGAUGCCUGCCAACUGCAGGAAAUGCGCCACGAGUUGGAGAGAGCCAACAAAAACUGCCGGAUCCUGCAGUACCGCCUCCGCAAAGCGGAACGCAAAAGGCUCCGUUAUGCACAGACAGGGGAAAUCGACGGGGAGCUGUUGCGCAGUCUGGAGCAAGACCUCAAGGUUGCAAAGGAUGUAUCUGUAAGACUUCACCAUGAAUUAGAAAAUGUGGAAGAAAAGAGAACAACAACAGAGGAUGAAAAUGAGAAACUGAGACAGCAACUUAUAGAAGUUGAGAUUGCAAAGCAAGCUUUACAGAACGAAUUGGAAAAAAUGAAGGAGCUAUCCCUAAAAAGAAGAGGAAGCAAGGAUUUGCCAAAAUCUGAAAAGAAGGUUCAACAAACUCCCACAGAGGAGGACAAUGAAGAUCUGAAAUGCCAGCUGCAGUUCGUUAAAGAAGAAGCUGCUUUGAUGAGAAAGAAAAUGGCAAAGAUUGACAAAGAAAAGGACAGAUUCGAACACGAGCUCCAAAAGUACAGGUCCUUUUAUGGAGACCUAGACAGUCCUCUGCCCAAAGGAGAAGCGGGAGGACCUCCCAGCACAAGAGAGGCUGAGCUCAAGCUACGCCUGAGGCUUGUGGAGGAAGAAGCCAAUAUCUUGGGCAGGAAAAUUGUGGAGCUGGAGGUGGAGAACAGAGGUCUAAAAGCGGAACUGGACGACCUAAGAGGUGAUGACUUCAAUGGUUCUGCCAACCCCCUCAUGAGAGAGCAGAGCGAAUCCCUGUCCGAGCUGCGGCAGCACCUGCAGCUGGUGGAAGACGAGACCGAGCUGCUGCGGCGGAACGUGGCCGACCUGGAGGAGCAGAACAAGCGCAUCACAGCGGAGCUCAACAAGUACAAAUACAAGUCCAGCAGCCACGACAGUGCGCGGCACCAUGACAAUGCCAAGACCGAGGCCUUGCAGGAGGAGCUGAAGGCCGCGCGCCUGCAGAUCAACGAGCUCAGCGGCAAGGUCAUGCAGCUGCAGUACGAGAACCGGGUGCUGAUGUCCAACAUGCAGCGCUAUGAUCUGGCCUCUCACCUGGGCAUCCGAGGCAGCCCCCGUGACAGCGAUGCCGAGAGCGAUGCGGGGAAAAAGGAGAGCGAUGAUGACUCCAGACCACCGCACCGCAAGCGGGAAGGGCCCAUCGGAGGCGAGAGCGACUCCGAGGAGGUGCGCAACAUCCGCUGCCUCACACCCACCCGCUCCUUCUACCCCACGCCUGGACCCUGGCCCAAGAGCUUCACCGACCGGCAGCAAAUGAAAGACAUCCGCUCAGAGGCUGAGCGCCUGGGCAAGACCAUCGACCGACUGAUCGCAGACACGAGCACUAUCAUCACCGAGGCGCGCAUCUACGUGGCCAAUGGAGACCUCUUCGGACUGAUGGACGACGAGGACGACGGCAGCCGCAUCCGUGAGCAUGAGCUGCUCUACCGAAUCAACGCGCAGAUGAAGGCUUUCCGCAAGGAGCUGCAGACCUUCAUCGACCGCCUCGAGGUGCCCAAGACCGCGGACGAUCGCGGUGCGGAGGAGCCCAUAUCCGUGAGUCAGGUACAGUUCUGCCUAUUGCGAGCCACGGCGAUGGCGAGGCUGGCCCGUGGAGCUGCGGUCCCCAGUGGGGCAUCUCCGCACACCGAACUCCACGCCCCGCUUUAGGGAAGUCCCAGCUUAGAACCUCAGCUGAGUUUGGAAGUUCCCCUGCACACUUCUUUCUUUUUUUUUUUUUUUCCACAUUCUCUUCUUUCAGGCCUGAGGUGUUUUUUUUUUUUUUGUAACUUGAUCCCUUGACCUCUCCUUGAACUCUUUUCCCUUCUGUUUUGUUUAGAAGGGAAAUUUUACUUACCUUACCUGUUUUGUUUUGUUUUGUUUCAAGAUGAAAGGCUCUUUAAGAUUGAAUGUGAUUAUUUCAAGGUCAGCAUUAUUAUUAUUAUUAUUAUUAUUAUACUGAUUCUAAUAGAUCGAGCUGAAAGAUCCUGAGUAGGAAUAUUCAGCUUUUGAUGUGCCAUUCUCAAGCUAAUAUUCAAAUUAAAUUUAAAAUGGAAUAUUUUAAUAGUUACUAACAAGCCAGGCUUAAUGCAUAACUACUGAUAAAUAUAUAAAUCAAUCAGUAGUAAAGAGAGACAGUACUAUAUCUAGAGCUGGACUGAAAGGAACAAGUGGAGGCUCUUUUAACACAAGUCAAAGGAAUGUGAAACUUAGUUAUAGAGAAAAAUCACUGGAACCUCUCCAGAAUCUCAGGACUGGAGAAAGAUCGUUGCACUUAUCUCUAAGACAGUACUAAUUGAGGGACAAAAAAAGUAGUAAUGACUAUUCUGGAACAGGGAAAACCAGCAUUUUCCUUCAUCCUAAUUUGUAGAGGCACACCUGAUGAAUUGGACUGAGCUGCUCUAGCCAGAUGUUCCAGCCUAUCAUUUUACUUAUUCUCAUUCUUGUAUUAUUUUCAUCACUUUCUUACACAACAAUAUUUAAACUUGUCUUCCUUUUUACACUGUUUUUU